AUUGAACGCUGGCGGCAUGCCUUACACAUGCAAGUCGAACGGCAGCAUGAUCUAGCCUGCUAGAUUGAUGGCGAGUGGCGAACGGGUGAGUAAUACAUCGGAACGUGCCCUGUAGUGGGGGAUAACUAGUCGAAAGAUUAGCUAAUACCGCAUACGACCUGAGGGUGAAAGUGGGGGACCGCAAGGCCUCAUGCUAUAGGAGCGGCCGAUGUCUGAUUAGCUAGUUGGUGAGGUAAAGGCUCACCAAGGCGACGAUCAGUAGCUGGUCUGAGGGGACGAUCAGCCACACUGGGACUGAGACACGGCCCAGACUCCUACGGGAGGCAGCAGAGGGGAAUUUUGGACAAUGGGGGCAACCCUGAUCCAGCAAUGCCGCGUGUGUGAAGAAGGCCUUCGGGUUGUAAAGCACUUUUGUCCGGAAAGAAACCGCACUUACUAAUAUUAGGUGUGGAUGACGGUACCGGAAGAAUAAGGACCGGCUAACUACGUGCCAGCCGCCGCAGUAACAC
rnacentral:rRNA from 1 species